GACGAACCGUGCGAACGUUGUUCGGAAUCACUGGGCUUAAAGGGCGCGUAGGCGGGUCGGCAAGUCAGGGGUGAAAUCGUUCGGCUUAACCGGACAACUGCCUUUGAUACUGCCGGUCUUGAGGGAGGUAGGGGUCUGCGGAACUUCCGGUGGAGCGGUGAAAUGCGUUGAUAUCGGAAGGAACGCCGGUGGCGAAAGCGGCGGACUGGACCUCUUCUGACGCUGAGGCGCGAAAGCCAGGGGAGCAAAGCGGG
rnacentral:rRNA from 1 species